CUAAUCUUGAAAACCAAACCCACCUCUUUAUUUCUUUUCUCUCACACUUCCCUCUUCUCCCUUUCGCUCUAGUCGUAGCCUAAGCCCAAAACUCUUCACGCCGACCACCUUAUGCUGGGGCCUAUACACCACUCCGACCCCCACUAGACAUUGAUCGAGGAAGUUGAGAUGACUCCCAAAUGAAUCCAAAAGUCAUUGUUUCCCCCUUCCUCUAUAUUUCCUCUUUGACCAAGAGUUUAGAUAACCUAACUGCCACAAAUUAGUACCUUUUCUCUCUCCGGCCAUCCUUAACGGUGGUCGGGUUAACCCAAAACCUAAACAAGACCCUAAGCGGCCUCCCCUCUUCUCUACUCUCUAAAUUAAAUCAUAAAAAAACUAAACCACACCCUAGACAACCUUAAUUUAACCCUGAUUGUUCGAUUUCUCAACCCCGCCGAUUUCACGUCUGACGACGACCUUUCAAAUUUAGUGAGUAGCUGAACUGUCCAGGGAGCUACCAAAGAAAGUUACAAUAGUGGCACGACGAUUUUGGAUGACUUUAUUUGACAUAAUAUUACGUAUGCAUCUUCGUUGUAUGAUUUGAAUAUCGGAACAAGUUUGUAUUUAAUUAUGUAUGUGUUUUAUUUUGGAGUUUAGACAAUUAUUUAGAAUUGGGAUUGAAUUUGUGAUUGUAGCUUGAAUUGUAAAUCAUGUAGACUAAUUUUCCA